AGAGUUUGCUUCUGGGCUCAGGAUGAACGCCGGCGGUGUGCCUAAUACAUGCAAGUCGUACGCACUGGCCCAACUGAUUGAUGGCGCUUGCACCUGAUUGACGUUGGAUCACCAGUGAGUGGCGGACGGGUGAGUAACACGUAGGUAACCUGCCCCGGAGCGGGGGAUAACAUUUGGAAACAGAUGCUAAUACCGCAUAACAACAAAAGCCACAUGGCUUUUGUUUGAAAGAUGGCUUUGGCUAUCACUCUGGGAUGGACCUGCGGUGCAUUAGCUAGUUGGUAAGGUAACGGCUUACCAAGGCGAUGAUGCAUAGCCGAGUUGAGAGACUGAUCGGCCACAAUGGAACUGAGACACGGUCCAUACUCCUACGGGAGGCAGCAGUAGGGAAUCUUCCACAAUGGGCGCAAGCCUGAUGGAGCAACACCGCGUGAGUGAAGAAGGGUUUCGGCUCGUAAAGCUCUGUUGUUGGAGAAGAACGUGCGUGAGAGUAACUGUUCACGCAGUGACGGUAUCCAACCAGAAAGUCACGGCUAACUACGUGCCAGCAGCCGCGGUAAUACGUAGGUGGCAAGCGUUAUCCGGAUUUAUUGGGCGUAAAGCGAGCGCAGGCGGUUGCUUAGGUCUGAUGUGAAAGCCUUCGGCUUAACCGAAGAAGUGCAUCGGAAACCGGGCGACUUGAGUGCAGAAGAGGACAGUGGAACUCCAUGUGUAGCGGUGGAAUGCGUAGAUAUAUGGAAGAACACCAGUGGCGAAGGCGGCUGUCUGGUCUGCAACUGACGCUGAGGCUCGAAAGCAUGGGUAGCGAACAGGAUUAGAUACCCUGGUAGUCCAUGCCGUAAACGAUGAGUGCUAGGUGUUGGAGGGUUUCCGCCCUUCAGUGCCGGAGCUAACGCAUUAAGCACUCCGCCUGGGGAGUACGACCGCAAGGUUGAAACUCAAAGGAAUUGACGGGGGCCCGCACAAGCGGUGGAGCAUGUGGUUUAAUUCGAAGCUACGCGAAGAACCUUACCAGGUCUUGACAUCUUGCGCUAACCUUAGAGAUAAGGCGUUCCCUUCGGGGACGCAAUGACAGGUGGUGCAUGGUCGUCGUCAGCUCGUGUCGUGAGAUGUUGGGUUAAGUCCCGCAACGAGCGCAACCCUUGUUACUAGUUGCCAGCAUUAAGUUGGGCACUCUAGUGAGACUGCCGGUGACAAACCGGAGGAAGGUGGGGACGACGUCAGAUCAUCAUGCCCCUUACGACCUGGGCUACACACGUGCUACAAUGGACGGUACAACGAGUCGCAAGCUCGCGAGAGUAAGCUAAUCUCUUAAAGCCGUUCUCAGUUCGGACUGUAGGCUGCAACUCGCCUACACGAAGUCGGAAUCGCUAGUAAUCGCGGAUCAGCAUGCCGCGGUGAAUACGUUCCCGGGCCUUGCACUCACCGCCCGUCA
rnacentral:rRNA from 1 species